GCCGGCCCAGGUCACGUGGGAGGGGUUGCUCCGCGCGGAGCGGGCGUUCAGGAAGCAUGGCUCUCUGGCGUGCAUACCAGCGGGCCCUGGCUGCUCACCCUUGGAAAGUACAGGUCCUGACGGCUGGGUCCCUGAUGGGCCUGGGUGACAUUAUCUCACAGCAGCUGGUGGAGAGGCGGGGUCUGCAGGAACACCAGACAGGCCGGACUCUGACCAUGAUGACCCUGGGCUGUGGCUUUGUGGGCCCCGUAGUAGGAGGCUGGUACAGGGUCUUGGAUCGGCUUAUCCCUGGCACCACCAAGGUGGAUGCACUCAAGAAGAUGUUGUUGGAUCAGGGGGGCUUUGCCCCGUGUUUUCUAGGCUGCUUCCUCCCACUGGUAGGGACACUCAAUGGACUGUCAGCCCAGGACAACUGGGCCAAACUACAGCGGGAUUAUCGUGAUGCCCUCAUCACCAACUACUAUCUGUGGCCUGCCGUGCAGUUAGCCAACUUCUACCUGAUCCCCCUUCAUUACAGGUUGGCCGUUGUCCAGUGUGUUGCUGUCAUCUGGAACUCCUACCUGUCCUGGAAGGCGCAUCAGCUUUAAGACUGCCUGGCUCCAUUUUCUCCAUGUUGCAGUCAUGCAGCUUGAGCUGCCCUGCUCUGGUGUGGCUUCAGCUUUCUGGUACCCCCUCACACUGUAUAUGGUGCCUCCGUGAACAUGUUAGUAAGUAUGUAAUCUGGAAACCGCAGAGGUAAUAAGAAAGACCCAGGAGAGAACUAUUGGGGAGUCCAAUUUCUAGAGCUGGGAAGAAGCCUAGGACUGCCAAGCCCUGUGGUCUCCAGAUGCAGUACUGCAGCCUAUGGAUGUGAGUAGUCCAUCCACACCAUGAGUUAGUGGCACUAGAAACUUGAACCCCAGUUUUCUUACUUCCAAACAGGUAUUCCCCCCCAACAUUUACUUAUGUAUUUAUCUAUUUAUUUGUUGUGAUUUUCAAGCCAUCUGGUCUGGGUCUCAAACCACCGUCAGCCAUGUGAGAAUCCAGCACCCCAUUUAACACCUGUUGACCCAACUACCAGGUGAUCUUAAUCCAAAGGUCAAAGGCAAAGUAAUACCGCUUCUGUGAUUCCCAGAAAACAGACCUUUGCUAAACUACCACUUUGGGCAAACUCAGAAGCAUAUCCACUGGUCUUUUGUGGUUUGAAAACUGUUGAAUUUAGGCCCUGGGACUGUAAGAGAUCAAGAAUCCUGAACGGACUUAGCUGUGGCAGACCACCUCCCUGUGGACCCCAUAGUGUUGGCCAGUUGCCAGUUGGCCACAGCUGGUCGCAGCUGAGUCUGAGCAGCAGGGCAUCCGUCCCAAUGCCUCUGGCCCAUCUCUUGAGGCGGAGGACAGGGUCAGCACCACGGACAGCUCCCGUGCCCCAACCUCCCGGUCAAGGGCGGGAAGAUGCGACCCCAAACUAGUCUGGUCUGGGGAAGGGCCCUGGUCACUGCCACCUGUUUUGAAUGGGGGUGAAGGACUCUCCUAGGUCCCAGAGCCGUCUUUACGCACCAAUCGGCUUUUCGUUCUCCCGACUCCAGCCUCAGCCCCAGGAACACAGUCUCGUGUCCGGGAGCGAGCCCCUCCAGGGACUCGGGACUGCCGAUUUGAAGUUGCGGCUGUCAUUGCCUUUACAAUCAGUGCAUGUUCUUCACUGACGUCAGUCGGAGCUGUCCUGGCGCUUUAUAAGGCUGGCAGCAAUCCCGGGACAGACCCUGUGUUUCCCAAGGCGCCCUCAGCCUGCCCCGAGGGGCAGAGACUGGAGCUCCGUCUCGCACCGUGCAAACGCUCUCGGACAACCUGUGAGUGGCUUGGAGCAUCUGCCCAGACUCCCUCCACACCAGGACUCUGCGUUCGGCUGGUCCACCACGACCUGCCGGGUGGGAAGGCGGGAAUGAAGGGGUGG